rnacentral:piRNA from 1 species
UACAAAGCUUUGGGCACAGUAUAGAUGC